rnacentral:misc_RNA from 1 species
ACGGCGAUGGCGAAGACCUCCAGCAGCUCCAGCGCGUCGUCGCCGGUCCAGCUGAAGUAGGAGCCGUCGGCGAGCUUGCGCCAGAACAGGCCCUGCGUGAGCACCGCGAACGUGACCACGGCGAAGGCGAGGCCGAUCUUGCCGAUGAUGGUGGCCACGCCGUUGAGCUUGACCUGCAGCGGCGUCUCGUCGUCGCCGCCCUCGCUGAGCGUGGCCAUGAGCUUGCCCCACUGCGUCCGCAUGCCGACGGUGGUGACCAGCAUCUUGCACGCGCCGUCCUGCACCUUGGUCCCCGACAGCAGGAACGGGUUCUCGGCGCUCACCGCGACGGGUUCGCUCUCUCCGGUGAGGCUGGACUCGUUGAUGAGCAGGGAGAAGCCCGACACGAAGAGCCCGUCGGCGGGCACCUGGUCGCCGAUGGCGAGGUGCACGAUGUCGCCCGCGAGGAGGUCGUAGAUGGAGAGCUUCUGGCGGUACCCGCUCCGCGUGACCUGCACUGUGAUCUUCUUCUUCUCCUUGUCGAGGUCCUUGAACUGCAGCGACUGGCGGUAGUCGCUGGUGGCGGUGACGAAGACGACGAGCAGGAUGCUGGCGACGAUGCCGAGCCCGUCGUGCGCGCCGUGGGGCCACCCCUCGGUGGCGAUGCCGACGACGAGGGAGACGAGCGCGCAGGCGGCCAGGAUCAUGAGCGUCAUGUCCUGGAGCGCCUCCCAGACGAAGACCCAGAAGCUGCGGGGCUCCGCCUCGGCGAAGCGGUUGACGCCGAAGAGCUCCUGCCGGGCCGCCAUCAGCUUGCUACCGUCGAGGCCGUCGGACGCCGAGGUGGACAGCCUGGACAGGAGGCCGUCCACGCCGCCGUGGGACUUGAGCUUCUUCACGUCGUGGCUCUCCACGAUGAAGCUCAGCU